rnacentral:RNase_P_RNA from 1 species
CACCGUUGAUGUUCUAUCGCCUUCAAAGCUUGCUUUGGUGGAGGAAAGUCCGGGCAGCGCAGAGCAUCCUGCUUCCUAACGGGAAGGGGCAAAACCGGUAACGGUUUGGUCACAGAAAGUGCCGCAGAAAAUUACCGUCCGGCCUUGGCCGGAUAAGGGUGAAAACGUGAGGUAAGAGCUCACGGUGUGUUUCCGUAAGGUGCAUUCGGGUAAACCUCAGGAGUUGAAAAACCAAAUAAGUCAUGGUUUGUCUCCGGACAAAAAGAACGGCUCGUUCAAAUUCCCUUCAACAGGAAUACCAUGGCGGGUAGGUUGAUUGAGGUGUUGUGUGAACAACAUCCCAGAUAAAUGAUAGAGCUUCCGGUGAAUAACCGGAAUACAGAACCCGGCUUACAAUCAACGGUGAACA